UUAUUUUGAAUAUAUAUCUAUACUAAAAUGGAAAUGGUUUAGAGGAAACGAGCAUAGUCCCUGCAAAAGGAAGGCAACCACGUUUAUGGAACGCUCCACAUUUUU